AAUAAGCCAUCAUAGAGACGUAUUUAAGCACAAUUCAGUAUACAAAUUUAUUCAUUAAACAUAACAAAAAAAGAUCAGAAACCAUACCAAUCACUAAACUAUUAAAAAACAAACCAUUAAACAGAGUCAUGUAUUUAAGCACGGCUCAGUAUAGGAAAAUUAUUCAUCGAACAUAAUAAAAAAAAGUCAGAAACCACACCAACUAUUAAACAUAACAGAAAAGAAGUUGGAAAUCAUACAAACCAUUAAACAUAGCAGUAAACAUAUUGAGUGUUGCAACCAAUAAAACAUCAAACAAGGGCAAAACAAGUGACAGUGAACUUCAAAAAAGCCAACAAUAUACAAAUUAAAUGUUUUGCGUAUAAAUAGUUAAACAUGAUUAAAUAAGCAUUUCCAUUCAUUAAUAAACAUCUCUUCCAACUUGCCCUGCAUUAAACAAAAAUUUUGCAAGUUAGUGAACAUCAAGGAAUUGUAAUAAUUGAUUAUACAAAUUCAAAUAGCAACUUCAUACUUUCUGCAUAUCACUGAUGACUCUGAAGUCUUGCCCUUCUCUUAGUCCAAGAUUAAUCUUGCAGUUAUUAAGGAACCAAGCCCAAGUCUCUGUUCUCACCCUCCAUAACUGUCCAAACUAAUGAAAAUAUCUGGUUUUUUUCCAUCUUUCCCAACAGCAGCGAGUAUUUUCCCCUUGAGUGACCCCAAGCAAUAGAUCAUCUACCCCAACAGCUUGUUCUUCACUUUCUCCCUAAAUGUUUCAAACUUCUUAAAUAUGCUCCUUAUCUCUUCAUCCUCAUCAUCCAACAUCCAAACCAAGACAAAGUAAUAUUCAGAUAUCUCUUCUAAGUCUAUCUCUACUUCAUUAUCUACCCUAUGUGCCCCAUUAACAUCAUGACUAUUUCUUCUUUUGCCCCACUCUCCUCUCUAACCCUAUUUGACCAUUAAUACCAUUGGUCUCAUU
rnacentral:lncRNA from 1 species